AGUUAAACAGUACGUGAAAUUGUUGAAAGGGAAACGAUUGAAGUCAGUCAUACCAACGGGAAAUCAACCUUUUGAGCUCGGUCUCGUGGGUUUUGAAGAGUUUCAAAGCCUUCGGAUUCGCGGGAUUGGGAUCUCUCGGUGUACUUUUUCGUACGGUUAGUCAACAUCGGUGUUUAAUGUCAUAAAAUGACUGGAGGAAUGUAGCUUCGAUCUCGUAUUGAAGUGUUAUAGCCUUUGGUAGAUGUGAUGUUUGAGACCGAGGAUUGCAACGGAUACCCUUCAGGGCUAUUCGUCUGAUCUCUGAUACGUUGCCUUGAUGUUGAAAGCUUGCUUAUGAUGUUAGGGUAUUACGGUCAAAAGGUUAGAACGAAUUACAUUCGUUAAGGAUGUUGACGUAAUGACUUUAAA
rnacentral:misc_RNA from 1 species